rnacentral:rRNA from 1 species
UACGUAGGGUGCAAGCGUUAAUCGGAAUUACUGGGCGUAAAGCGUGCGCAGGCGGUGAUGUAAGACAGGUGUGAAAUCCCCGGGCUUAACCUGGGAACUGCAUUUGUGACUGCAUCGCUGGAGUGCGGCAGAGGGGGAUGGAAUUCCGCGUGUAGCAGUGAAAUGCGUAGAUAUCAAGUGGAACACCAGUGGCGAAGGCGAGUCCCUGGACAACUCCUGACACUGAGGCACGAAAGCUAGGGGAGCAAACAGG